ensembl:piRNA 21ur-3350 ncRNA
UUCAGCAAAUGAUACAAAAUU